CUAAAUUAGGAGCUGAAAACAAAGAAUGUGGUGGUCAGCCCAACCAAACAAAGCUGAGAGGAGAGAGGGAUUCUCAGGGCAGCAAGGACAAGCAGACCACAUUGGUGGAAAAGCUGAGGCUCUCCAACAAGUGUUACACAACUCCUGCAUCAGCAGUGAGGAUGUCCACCAGUGCCACAGUAUAUAUUUCUGGGUAACCUGGAUCAAUCUGCC
rnacentral:lncRNA from 1 species